AGAGUUUGAUCAUGGCUCAGGAUGAACGCUAGCUACAGGCUUAACACAUGCAAGUCGAGGGGCAGCAUGGUCUUAGCUUGCUAAGGCCGAUGGCGACCGGCGCACGGGUGAGUAACACGUAUCCAACCUGCCGUCUACUCUUGGACAGCCUUCUGAAAGGAAGAUUAAUACAAGAUGGCAUCAUGAGUUCACAUGUUCACAUGAUUAAAGGUAUUCCGGUAGACGAUGGGGAUGCGUUCCAUUAGAUAGUAGGCGGGGUAACGGCCCACCUAGUCUUCGAUGGAUAGGGGUUCUGAGAGGAAGGUCCCCCACAUUGGAACUGAGACACGGUCCAAACUCCUACGGGAGGCAGCAGUGAGGAAUAUUGGUCAAUGGGCGAGAGCCUGAACCAGCCAAGUAGCGUGAAGGAUGACUGCCCUAUGGGUUGUAAACUUCUUUUAUAAAGGAAUAAAGUCGGGUAUGCAUACCCGUUUGCAUGUACUUUAUGAAUAAGGAUCGGCUAACUCCGUGCCAGCAGCCGCGGUAAUACGGAGGAUCCGAGCGUUAUCCGGAUUUAUUGGGUUUAAAGGGAGCGUAGAUGGAUGUUUAAGUCAGUUGUGAAAGUUUGCGGCUCAACCGUAAAAUUGCAGUUGAUACUGGAUAUCUUGAGUGCAGUUGAGGCAGGCGGAAUUCGUGGUGUAGCGGUGAAAUGCUUAGAUAUCACGAAGAACUCCGAUUGCGAAGGCAGCCUGCUAAGCUGCAACUGACAUUGAGGCUCGAAAGUGUGGGUAUCAAACGGGAUUAGAUACCCCGGUAGUCCACACGGUAAACGAUGAAUACUCGCUGUUUGCGAUAUACAGCAAGCGGCCAAGCGAAAGCGUUAAGUAUUCCACCUGGGGAGUACGCCGGCAACGGUGAAACUCAAAGGAAUUGACGGGGGCCCGCACAAGCGGAGGAACAUGUGGUUUAAUUCGAUGAUACGCGAGGAACCUUACCCGGGCUUAAAUUGCAGAUGAAUUACGGUGAAAGCCGUAAGCCGCAAGGCAUCUGUGAAGGUGCUGCAUGGUUGUCGUCAGCUCGUGCCGUGAGGUGUCGGCUUAAGUGCCAUAACGAGCGCAACCCUUGUUGUCAGUUACUAACAGGUUCUGCUGAGGACUCUGACAAGACUGCCAUCGUAAGAUGUGAGGAAGGUGGGGAUGACGUCAAAUCAGCACGGCCCUUACGUCCGGGGCUACACACGUGUUACAAUGGGGGGUACAGAGGGCCGCUACCACGCGAGUGGA
rnacentral:rRNA from 1 species